rnacentral:SRP_RNA from 1 species
GCCGGGUGUGGUGGUACACACCUGUAGUCCCAGCUACUUGGGAGGCUGAGGUGGGAGGAUCACUUGAGCCCACGGGGUUGAGGCUGCAGUGAGCCAUGAUUGUGCCACUGCACUCCAGCCUGGGCAACAGAGGGAGACCCCAUCUCAA